rnacentral:pre_miRNA from 1 species
GGCCCAAAUUUGAAGUAAAGUAGGUUAGUAGGAUUGUCCGACCCUACUAAACUACACUACUUCAACUUUGUGCCC